AGCAAUCUCCUUUGUAUUGAGUUGGAACGUUUGUCUACGAUUGCCGCUAGGGGCGCUGUUCCAACUGCAUACAAAUUUGAGUUA
rnacentral:pre_miRNA from 1 species